GGAAGGGAAUAUCAAUGCAGAUUCCAAUCAGAUUCAAACAUUUUUUUUUUUCAAAUUAGAAAUCUGGGUUAUUCACGAAGACUAUGUUUAUGAUAUUUCCACGCGCAUAAUUUAUGGAAUAUCAAAAUAUCAGAUAAAGAAUUAUCGGACUUUUGGUGAGUACUGUAUGCGCAUGGCAAACAUAAUAAACAGUACAUGUGUACGUGAUAUAUUCUCAAGCAUUUCUUAUGUUUACAACUCGACUCUUCCCUGAGAUUUCAAUUCGACACAUGUUUGUAAAUGGUUUUUUUUUAAAUAUGGUAUAUAUGUGAUAAUAUAUUAGUUGAUUAGAACAGAAGAAACGAUGCUUUGAUUGGUCUGUCAAAUGUCUUUUACUAUGAACAUACUCACUUCAGCAGGUACUUGAAAUUCUUUGAAGGAUCCAGUGCGCAGCCAGUGUAUGGAUAUGUGCUAUCCAACUUCAAGGACAACUUCUGAUAUCUUAAUAGCAGUGCCAUUAUGCAUAACAUGUAGUGGAAUACGUUAGAUUUUGACUCGAUCAUAUUCUAACAGAUUUGAAAUAAGAUGACGUAAUAUUCUAUAGACAGAAUAAGAAUUGGAUGAACUAUUGUGGAGAGACGAACCAUGGUGUGCUGAAGUAGAUGUUUGGCUGCUGAGAGGCAAUUGUCACAGGGAAUAAAAUUUUGGAUUGUUUCCCUUGAUUAUAUAUUAAACAUAUUUAAAAGUCAAGAAGAAAUGUAUCUUACAAUUUUGGCAAGAUGGGACAACGAGAUGAAGGAAUGCUAAAGCUAUCGACUGUAACAGUAUCCAGUAAAGCGUGGUUUAAGAGUCCUCAUAUACUGUAAAUAUGGUAUUUACAUUCCAAACAGAAUUUAUAAAAGUUGAGGCUUCUAUGAUAAAAAUGCACUGUGUCAUUUUUACACUACACGAAGUGUUCUAAAUCAACAAAUAAUAUUUAUAUGAGAGAAAAUGUGUCAAAUAUCUGUAAUAGGUUCGAGUUGAUAACGAACGAAUUAUUCAGAAAAAUUAAAUAAAUCACAAUCGAUUUCUUUAGUGUGUUUUUUUCUUCUUGUUAUGUAUGCUUAUUCAGAAAAACAAAUAUCCGUUUACAACACGUGAUUCACAAAAUACAAAGAUGUGGGAACAGUGACUAUAGCAGAUGCUGGUGUAACCGGUGUACCACUGGACGGAGAUGUCCUCUCUUUAUAGAUGACAGAUAUGGACAUUUUUGAAAAUGAAAUAGAUUCAGAGGUAUUCUAUAUAAUCCAAGGAUUAUGAUGAUUACGCGUGGGAAUUAGCGGUAUAUAAUUCUCAUUGAUACAGUUUUGUUGUGUUUGUAUUCACUAACAUACACAACAUCAAGUUUACAGUAUUCGCGUCGUAACUAAAAUACCUCUCUCCAUUAACAGUCUUGAUUAAAAGUGCUACAUGUAUGUUAUACAAUUUCUCACAUGAUUUUGACGAAAUAAAAUUUUGCAUUUACUGAUUGAUAG